rnacentral:rRNA from 1 species
GACGGAGGGUGCAAGCGUUGUUCGGAUUGACUGGGCGUAAAGGGCGUGUAGGCGGUUGGUCAAGUCUGGUGUGAAAGCCCGGGGCUUAACCCCGGAAGUGCGCUGGAAACUAGCCAGCUAGAGCGCGAGAGAGGAGGGUGGAAUUCCUGGUGUAGCGGUGAAAUGCGUAGAUAUCGUCUGGAACGCCGAAGGUGAAAACAGCUCGCUGGGGCUGCGCUGACGCUGAGACACGAAAGCCAGGGGAGCGAACGGG